rnacentral:rRNA from 1 species
AGUGAACGCUGGCGGUAGGCCUAACACAUGCAAGUCGAACGGCAGCACAGGAGAGCUUGCUCUCUGGGUGGCGAGUGGCGGACGGGUGAGGAAUACAUCGGAAUCUACUCUGUCGUGGGGGAUAACGUAGGGAAACUUACGCUGAUACCGCAUACGACCUACGGGUGAAAGCAGGGGACCUUCGGGCCUUGCGCGAUUGAAUGAGCCGAUGUCGGAUUAGCUAGUUGGCGGGGUAAAGGCCCACCAAGGCGACGAUCCGUAGCUGGUCUGAGAGGAUGAUCAGCCACACUGGAACUGAGACACGGUCCAGACUCCUACGGGAGGCAGCAGUGGGGAAUAUUGGACAAUGGGCGCAAGCCUGACCCAGCCAUACCGCGUGGGUGAAGAAGGCCUUCGGGUUGUAAAGCCCUUUUGUUGGGAAAGAAAUCCAGCUGGCUAAUACCCGGUUGGGAUGACGGUACCCAAAGAAUAAGCACCGGCUAACUUCGUGCCAGCCGCCGCGGUAA